rnacentral:tRNA from 1 species
ACCGCUGUAGCUCAUUUGGAUAGAGCAUCCCACCAACUAUGGGAAUGGUAGCGGGUUCGAGCCCCGCCAGCGGUA